ACAGGUGUUUUGCUUAAGAAGUAUUUGCCGGGCCACUUUCAAUACCCUAAUUGCAUUCGUACCAGUGGUAAAAGAAUAAAGGAUGAAAUAUCUUGUAGCAAUAUUGAUUCUUGUUCUCUUCAUAACUGCGCAAACAGUUGAAGGUCAGCAAAAGAAAGGUAAUAAACUUGUAAGUGGUUGUCAUGAGCACUGUCCAAACUCUCCAUUGGGAUGUGCAAUGUGUUGUGUAAGCCAUGGUGAUAUAGGAGGAUUUUGCAAAGGACGAUAUUGUAAUUGCUGGUGGUGGAUAAGGUAAAGGAAUUUCAAUAUCAAAGAAAAACGAUGGAAUCACACUGCAUCGACUAUGUUAAGACACUAUUAAAUUAUUUGAGCAUUAAUAA